rnacentral:rRNA from 1 species
UGGGGAAUAUUGGACAAUGGAGGGAACUCUGAUCCAGCAAUUCUGUGUGUGUGAAGAAGGUUUUAGGACUGUAAAACACUUUUAGUAGGGAAGAAAAAAAUGACGGUACCUACAGAAGAAGCGACGGCUAAAUACGUGCCAGCAGCCGCGGUAAUACGUAUGUCGCGAGCGUUAUCCGGAAUUAUUGGGCUUAAAGGGCAUCUAGGCGGUUAAACAAGUUGAAGGUGAAAACCUGUGGCUCAACCAUAGGCUUGCCUACAAAACUGUUGAACUAGAGUACUGGAAAGGUGGGUGGAACUACACGAGUAGAGGUGAAAUUCGUAGAUAUGUGUAGGAAUGCCGAUGAUGAAGAUAACUCACUGGACAGAAACUGACGCUGAAGUGCGAAAGCUAGGGGAGCAAACAGG